rnacentral:rRNA from 1 species
AUUGAACGCUGGCGGCAGGCCUAACACAUGCAAGUCGAACGAGUGGCGGACGGGUGAGUAAUGUCUGGGAAACUGCCUGAUGGAGGGGGAUAACUACUGGAAACGGUAGCUAAUACCGCAUACCAUCAGAUGUGCCCAGAUGGGAUUAGCUGGUUGGUGGGGUAACGGCUCACCAAGGAGACGAUCCUUAGCUGGUCUGAGAGGAUGACGAGCCACAUUGUAACUGAGACACGGUUCAGACUCCUACUGGAGGCAGCAGUGGGGAAUAUGGUACAAUGGGCUAAAGCCUGAGGGAGCCAUGCCGCGUGUGUGAAGAAGGCCUUCGGGUUGUAAAGUACUUUCAGCGAGGAGGCUUUACUCGCAUAAGAAGCACCGGCUAACUACGUGCCAGCAGCCGCGGUAAUAC